rnacentral:rRNA from 1 species
AUUGAACGCUGGCGGCAUGCUUUACACAUGCAAGUCGAACGGCAGCGCGGGCUUCGGCCUGGCGGCGAGUGGCGAACGGGUGAGUAAUACAUCGGAACGUGCCCAGUAGUGGGGGAUAGCUCGGCGAAAGCCGGAUUAAUACCGCAUACGACCUGAGGGUGAAAGCGGGGGAUCUUCGGACCUCGCGCUAUUGGAGCGGCCGAUGGCAGAUUAGCUAGUUGGUGGGGUAAAGGCCUACCAAGGCGACGAUCUGUAGCUGGUCUGAGAGGACGACCAGCCACACUGGGACUGAGACACGGCCCAGACUCCUAAGGGAGGCAGCAGUGGGGAAUGUUGGACAAAGGGCGAAAGCCUGAUCCAGCAAUGCCGCGUGUGUGAUGAAGGCCUUCGGGUUGUAAAGAACGUUUGGCGGGAACGAAAAGGACUGUGCCAAUACCACGGUUCGAUGACGGUACCCGCAGAAUAAGCACCGGCUAACUACGUG